UCUAAUGAUCAUUCGCACCUGAAUAAGUCGAUAAUAUUUUCUGCAAAAGAAAUAAAAAAAAUUCUGUCCAUCAUGAAAUUUCUCGCUAUUUUCGUAGUCAUUGCAAUGGCUCUAGCAACUGUUAGCGCCCAACCUGGAUACUGUUUAGGACGCGGAUUACGUUGCCGGUUCCAUCGUCAGUGCUGCUCCGGACUUUGCCGCCGAGGAAGAUGCGCCUAAUCGAAGAUGUUUCGGAAAGAGAAGGUCACAAACGUCGAGUUCAGAAGCAGAUGCGAUGUUGUGUCAUUCAGCAAGUUCAAUGUACGAGAACAUCAUCGUUUGGCCUGUCCUGAUGCAGAUUAAAUUAAUUACCUGGCUUUUUCUGGAAUUAACUUUGUCAACUGUUCUGUAGUCAUUCUGAGUGAAUGGAUAACAUAAAAUAUCUAUAUUCAAGCAUA